rnacentral:rRNA from 1 species
AGGACGAACGCUGGCGGCGUGCUUAACACAUGCAAGUCGAGCGAGGCCCUUCCUUCGGGAAGGUGCCCUAGCGGCGAACGGGUGAGUAACACGUGGGCAACCUGCCCCUAGCACUGGGAUAACUCCGGGAAACCGGGGCUAAUACCGGAUAUGACCUUCUUGGGCAUCCUCGAAGGUGUAAAGGAUUCUGGCUAGGGAUGGGCCCGCGGCCUAUCAGCUUGUUGGUGGGGUAAUGGCCUACCAAGGCGACGACGGGUAGCCGGCCUGAGAGGGUGACCGGCCACACUGGGACUGAGACACGGCCCAGACUCCUACGGGAGGCAGCAGUGGGGAAUCUUGCACAAUGGGCGAAAGCCUGAUGCAGCGACGCCGCGUGAGGGAUGACUGCCUUCGGGUUGUAAACCUCUUUCAGCAGGGACGAAGCGAAAGUGACGGUACCUGCAGAAGAAGCACCGGCCAACUACGUGCCAGCAGCCGCGGUAA